rnacentral:rRNA from 1 species
GAUGAACGCUAGCGGCAGGCCUAACACAUGCAAGUCGAGGGAGAAGCCUUUCGGGGCAGAAACCGGCGCACGGGUGCGUAACGCGUAUGCAACCUACCUUUCACAGGGGGAUAGCCCGAAGAAAUUUGGAUUAAUACCCCAUAAUAUUGUUGGAUGGCAUCAUCUGAUAAUUAAAACUGCGGUGGUGAAAGAUGGGCAUGCGUCCUAUUAGCUAGUUGGAGUGGUAACGGCACCCCAAGGCUACGAUAGGUAGGGGUCCUGAGAGGGAGAUCCCCCACACUGGUACUGAGACAGGGACCAGACUCCUACGGGAGGCAGCAGUGAGGAAUAUUGGUCAAUGGUCGGAAGACUGAACCAGCCAUGCCGCGUGCAGGAAGAAUGCCUUAUGGGUUGUAAACUGCUUUUAUAUGGGAAGAAUAAGGUGUACGUGUACAUUGAUGAC